AAACUUUAAACUGUUAUGAAUUAUAAACGGCCAUCUGAUAUAUUAUGUAGACCAAAAUGUCUUGUUGAUUAAAAACGAAACAGAAAUCAAACUCACUUAAAAUCUUUCAAGAAAAUUGAAGGUUCAUGAUAAAAGAAUCACUCUGUAUGAGUAAAAUAAUAACUAAAUUAUUACAAACGUUGAACAUAUUAUUAUGAUUUAUAGAGCGGCUCACGCGGUUGUUUUCACGAAAAUCUAACCUACAAAGAGAAAAAUUAAUAAUUGUAUGAAUAAAUCGCUUGAGGGCCGGACCGGACCUAGUGUGAGUAUAAUAUUCCUGUCCAGACCCGCCAUAUAGGGUUCACUGUUGAAUUUUUAAACACCGUAAUGCUGCACAAUGCCUGCCUCAGUCCGAUUUACAAAUGAUGAUUAUGCAGUAGUCAGUGGUGACGGGACCUUUGGACGUCAUUUGAUACGAAUAAAAGGCCUAUAGAAAAUCACUAUGGAUCUGCUGAUUUUUUUUC